UAACGCGUAAGAACUUGCCUCACAGAUAGGGACAACAUUUGGAAACGAAUGCUAAUACCUGAUAUUAUAAUUUUAGGGCAUCCUAGGAUUAUGAAAGCUAUAUGCGCUGUGAGAGAGCUUUGCGUCCCAUUAGCUAGUUGGAGAGGUAACGGCUCACCAAGGCGAUGAUGGGUAGCCGGCCUGAGAGGGUGAUCGGCCACAAGGGGACUGAGACACGGCCCUU
rnacentral:rRNA from 1 species